AACGAACGCUGGCGGCAUGCCUAACACAUGCAAGUCGAACGAGACCUUCGGGUCUAGUGGCGCUCGGGUGCGUAACGCGUGGGAACCUGCCGUUAGGUUCGGAAUAACUCUUUUAAGGGGGUGCUAAUACCGGAUAAUUUCUUCGGACCAAAGAUUUAUCGUCUUUGGAUGGGCCGGAGUUGUUUUAGCUAGUUGGUAUGGUAAAAGCCGACCAAGGCUACGAUCCAUAGCUGGUAUGAGAGGAAGAUCAGCCACACUUGGACUGGGACACGGCGCAGACUCCUACGGGAGGCAGGAGUGGGGAAUACUGGACAACGGGCGAAAGCAUGAUCCAGCAAGGCCGCGUGAGUGAUGAAGGUGUUAGGGAUGUGAAGCUCUUUAACACGGCGUGAUAAUGACAGUACCGGGAGAAUAAGCACCGGCUAACUCCGUG
rnacentral:rRNA from 1 species